rnacentral:lncRNA from 1 species
UUCCAAUUGAAUACAACUUCUCAAAAAAUUGGACUCAUCGUUUCGUUUAUUUGAUCUUUUAAUUUUUGUAGAUUCUUUAGAAGCUUCUUUUUACCAAGUAGUUUUUCUGAUGUGCUGCUUUUUUAUUGUGUUAUUGUGUUAAAUGGUGCCUAUUUGUAACCAGGUAGGCCUAUGCACAAAGAAAAAUUCCUGCAAAAUAAAGAAAAGUAUCCCAAAAUAAUCCCCUCAUAACUGCUCAAAUAAGCGUCUUCAUUUUUAAACUGUAGUGAAUCCAGCAGAAGUUCAGAGAGUUUCAAUCCCGUCUGUGAUUGAAGUUAAAUUAGAGGAAACUUUAGUCCAACUUCAAGACUUGAACCCACAUCUGAGAGGAUCAAACCAGAUGAUGAUGGAAAACUGACCAUUUUUAUUCGUUCUUUUUUAUUGAUUUCUAAAAGCUGGAGAUGUCCAGAGGAUCCAGCAAACUGCGGCUCGUUCUCUGCGGUCACCUGUUGUCUGUCUCCUCCGUGACGGCAUCCACGAGGGGGCGUGGCUGCCAGAUCUAAACGGGAAGCGGGUCACUGCGGGGAACGUAAACAGUCCUCACGCUGCGUUGCAGGAUGAAGCGUUUCCCGGUGGGAGCGUGACGGAUUCGGGGGCGGUAUCUACAGUAACGGGUGCAGAUCU